GCUUCACUAGCUCAGUUGGCAGAGCGUCAGUCUCAUAACAUCUGAAGGUCGACAGUUCGAACCUGCCGUGGAGCA
rnacentral:tRNA from 1 species